GCAUUUUUGAGGAGUUACUGGAUGCAGAAGUAACAAAGGAAGGCAGCCAGAUCCCAACUCAGAAUCAAGCAAGAAGAUACCUUCCAGAUUCUGGUCCAAGUGAUUAGACUUUGAUAAAGUUCCUGCAUUUGGGAACAGGCCACCAGACAGCACUGCCUGUUCAAAUGCACAAGUCUUGACAGAGUAGAAAAGCUCGUCAGAAACAUUAAGUCCUUUAGGUCACCAGGUAUUGAUGAUGGAUCUGAAUUUGUCAUAAGCACAAGAUUUGUUAGGCUUAAGCUCUCAUCAGAGCACUCUAAAAUCCCACAAAGGGAAAAGCAAACUCCCCUUUUCUCUGGGUGUUUUUUCCUUCCUUUCUCAGGAGCCAGCAUCAGAUUGAAAAUAAACCCUGAUAACAGCUCCUCUGCUGGAAAGGGACAUUCAUGUGCACAUCACAUCGAGUAGCUACAAGGCUUCCAAUAUUUUAACUCCUAAUAAAAAGUCAUGAAUUCUGUUCCAGAUCAAACCCAUUCAAAACUCAUCAGGAGAAGUUCCUGCUUUUCUUAACCAUCCCAGCUACAAACCCGGUUGGAGCAGAGCUUGGAGUCACCGGCUCUACUUGGACUCCAUCACCAAAACACUUCCCCAAGAUCCUCACAGCCCCACAGACAAAACCCAGCUUCUUCUCCCAAAGGCUGGCUCAGUCACUUUGUGGUGAUGCAUACAAGCAGCAGUUCUGACUAUCGGGAUGCAGGCAGAAGGGGAAAUUGGGAAUAAAGAUAAACAGGCCCUAGCUUAGCAGAGCAGCUUUGACCAUGACCACACUCACAUCCCCAGAGGGCCACCAAACCUUAAAUUAGUUUUUCCCUACUCUGUGCCAGACCCAAUAAGCCAGCUGAUGCUGGGCUCUCCCUCUGGAAAUGGCUGGUCCUGAAGCAGAAGCUGAUGGACACCACAAAUGACAGAACACCAGGAACAGUGAGCCAGCUCACACAGAGACUGUUGCUACAAACCCCUUGGCCAUUUUCACCCCUAGCCAAUUGUUUUAUAGGCACUAUUUUACAUGAAAGAGACUAACAAUAAAUGGGGCCCUCUUCCUUUUAACCUUCGCAUAAAGCUGAUUAAUAGAAUCAUAGAAUGGUUUGGGCUGAAGGGACCUUAAAGCUCAUCGAGUUCCAGCCCCCUGCCAUGGGCAGGGACACCUUCUACUAGAGCAGGCUGCUCAAUCAAUGCUAAAUCACAGAAGUUCCUGCACAAGCAAUUCCAGAUCUCCCACUAUAUUAAAAUUAAAGUAAAAAUUGUGACUUUAAAGCAACACCGCAUUCAACUGCGGCAUCCAAAAUAAUAUUACAACACAAGGAUGCAAACUUCCGACACAAAUGCAACUGUAAAAGCUAAAAAUCAGGGUCCCAACUAGAUUUCCUUUGGAAACAGGGGGGAGUGCUCAAAUCUUAAAUUUGACAAAAGUAAUCUUUCCCA